rnacentral:tmRNA from 1 species
GGGGGUGACAGGUCUCGACAUGUUAUCUUGAUCCAUUGAGCAGCAUGCAGAGGUUGUCAGGUGGCCUCUUUAAAAACCUGGCAAAAAAAAUAAAUGCAGACUACAAUCCAGUAGCUGACGCCGAGGCUAUUUUAGCCGAAGGCACACUAGCUCCUCAAUACGCAGGGGCGGGUUCAUUAUUUGGCGCUCUGGCCAUCUAAUUUAACCUUAAACUAAGCAGAGACGCCCGGAGUUUUAUCUUCUGCCUCCGGGUCUGAUCUAAGAAGGUUGCUUUCGGAAAGGCCCAGUUUACCAGGCCUUCCGGGAAAAGAUAAGGGUAGACUAAGCAUGUAGAUACUCGUUGGGUAAGUUCCAUGGACCCGGGUUCGAAUCCCGGCACCUCCACCA